GGAGCAUUCGAGUGUAGCUUUGGCUUAAGUUCCUUGGAACAGGACGUCAUAGAGGGUGAGAACCCCGUUAACGGCCGUUGUCUUAUGCUCAUGUGAAUCUCCUUCAACGAGUCGAGUUGUUUGGGAAUGCAGCUCUAAAUGGGUGGUAAAUUCCAUCUAAAGCUAAAUACUGGCAAGAGACCGAUAGCGCACAAGUAGAGUGAUCGAAAGAUGAAAAGAACUCUGAACAGAGAGUUAAAUAGUACGUGAAAUUGUUGAAAGGGAAGCACUUGCAACCAGACGCACUUGCAGCUGAUCAACCUCCAUUCUUGGAGGUGCACUCAGUUGUUUGUGGGUCAGCAUCAGUUAUGGCGGUGGGAAAAAGACCAAGGGAAUGUAGCUCCUUUCGGGGAGUGUUAUAGCCCUUGGUGUAAUGCUGCCUGCUAUGACUGAGGACUGCGCUUUGGCGAGGAUGCUGGCAUAAUGGUUGUAAGUGACCCGUCUUGAAACACGGACCAAGGAGUCUAACAUCUAUGCGAGUGUUUGGGUGUUCAAACCCUUACGCGGAAUGAAAGUAAAUGGAGGUGGGAACCGCA
rnacentral:rRNA from 1 species